UACAGAGGUCUCAAGCGUUGUUCGGAUUCAUUGGGCGUAAAGGGUGCGUAGGCGGCGCGGUAAGUCGGGUGUGAAAUCUCGGAGCUUAACUCCGAAACUGCAUUCGAUACUGCCGUGCUUGAGGACUGGAGAGGAGACUGGAAUUGACGGUGUAGCGGUGAAAUGCGCAGAUAUCGGGAGGAACACCUAUGGCGAAGGCAGCUCGCUGGGACGUUACUGACGCUGGAGACGCGAAGCGUGGGAGCAACAGG
rnacentral:rRNA from 1 species